rnacentral:rRNA from 1 species
UAGAGCUUGAUCCUGGCUCAGAACGAACGCUGGCGGCGUGCCUAACACAUGCAAGUCGAACGGUAACAGGGACUUCGGUCCGCUGACGAGUGGCGCACGGGUGAGUAACGCGUGGGGCUACCUGCCCAUCAGUGAGGAACAACCUGGAGAAAUCCAGGCUAAUACCGCAUACGACCUUCGGGUGAAAGAGGGGGACUCUUCGGAACCUCUCGCUGAUGGAUGGUCCCGCGUCUGAUUAGCUAGUUGGUAAGGUAACGGCUUACCAAGGCGAUGAUCAGUAGCUGGUCUGAGAGGAUGAUCAGUCACACUGGAACUGAGACACGGUCCAGACUCCUACGGGAGGCAGCAGUGGGGAAUUUUGCACAAUGGGCGAAAGCCUGAUGCAGCGACGCCGCGUGCGGGAAGAAGGCCUUCGGGUUGUAAACCGCUUUCAACAGGGAAGAAGGAAUGAGGGCCAAUACCCCUCUGCCUUGACGGUACCUGUAGAAGAAGCCCCGGCUAAUUUCGUGCCAGCAGCCGCGGUAAUACGAAAGGGGCAAGCGUUGUUCGGAUUUACUGGGCGUAAAGAGAUCGUAGGUGGCUUGUUAAGUCGGAUGUGAAAUCCCGGGGCUCAACCCCGGAACUGCAUUCGAUACUGGCAGGCUUGAGUUCGGGAGGGGUAAGCGGAAUUCCGUGUGUAGCAGUGAAAUGCGUAGAUAUACGGAGGAACACCUGAGGCGAAGGCGGCUUACUGGACCGAUACUGACACUGAGGAUCGAAAGCGUGGGUAGCAAACAGGAUUAGAUACCCUGGUAGUCCACGCCCUAAACGAUGUCUACUAGCCGUUGCGGGUAUCGACCCCUACAGUGGCA